CCACGGUCAGUAUCAGCCCUCGAGCCUUCGGCUCUUGGGCUGAUAAUAUAUCUGAUAAGAAAAAUGCCACGUUAUAAUCUGAUAAUUUCAUUAAUCACCGGUUGUCAGAAUGACUCUUGUGUAUUCAUGGUCUAUACAUUGCGUUGGUAGGUAAAUGUAUUGUCCGAAUUUGAUAAAUCGAAAUCGAUAAAGCACACAGAACAUUUCUGUAUGACAACUCUUGAACAGCAUGAACAAUGUUACAGUAGAAUGUUCAAAUGUUAUUUGAAUGUUAUGAACAAAUAAUUAAAUCGGUCAGAUAUAAAUCCAAGCUUCGUAUGUACUAAUAGCCUAAAUUAUAAUGCAUUCUCUAUUGAUUUUCCUUCAAGUUUGUACUUUCAGAAUAGUUCAAUAUCGAAACUGUUAUAAAUGUGUUUGAAACGAUCUAUCAAAAGGAAAUCUUACGCAUUUAACACACUUUAUUCUUUUUUGUAGAAAUUUUCCUUUAAAAUCUGUUUUCUGUGGACAAGGUUCAAAGCUACUACAGAGAAGGAACCGUCGAGCUGUAAAAAACAUCAAUGCACUGAACAGGGAAGACAUUGGUAUUAUAAAUGAUAUUCGACCAACGAGAAAGAACAGUCAAUCUGUAAAAAACAACAAUGCACUGAAAAGGGAAGACAUUGGUACUAUAAAUGAUAUUAGA